UUGAGAGGAUGGCGUUUAAGCUUGAGAGAGCUCUUGAGGGAACGCCCAAGGAUGCCAAGGGAUUGCUCACGGUUUUUUGCUGCUUGCAAGGGGUAGUUUAUGUAGGCACCAAGUCAUCAUGACUUGGUGCUAUGACUUGACGCUAGACAGAGUUUUUUGGAAAACCAAGGAAUUAUGCAGCAAUCUCCAUGAUUUUGGCAUGGAAGGGAAGCAAGGGCCGCAUGAAAGGGGCAUCUUCUUCUUUGCCAAUGAGCUCUCUUACUUUGGCUUCUGUGUCUAUCUUGUCUAGCUUGAGAAUCAUGUCUUCCCUGUAGACUUAGACAUUGGGCACUUCAAUAGGAAAUGUUGCUACGGGUAUCAUGGGAUAAGGAUAUCAUUUUUGACAGUUCUCUACAUAUACUACUGUCACCUGCAUUCUUUUGGCCCAUUGGACACAUUGUUGCCGGGUGGAUGGUACUGCGUUGGCUGAAUGAAUCCAUGGUCAAUCAAAUUACAAGUUAAAAAAUGGUUCUAUAUCCACUAUGUGGAAUAGAGCCUCAAAUAGGGUCUCUGCAAUCUCCACUUUUAUACAUACACACCCAUGUAGGGCUGCCAAUGUCCAUCAUAUCCUUGGCUUGUGACUAUUCUAGCCCCCCGAUCCCCAGGGCCUGUGUCGUCUGAAAUGGGGAAAAUGUUGAAACUUGCCCCACCAUCAGCCAAUGCGGGUUGUCUUGUUGUCUUCCCCACUGCUUGUUUUAGUACUGGCGUUGUUGCAGUGCCUGAGUUGCAAGGAGAGCCUAAAGAAAUCUCCAAAGAAAAGGCUCGUUUAGCAACAAACGAGAUCCUAGUUAUGCAUGUUUGCCUUCUGAGGAUGAAUGGUCUCAUGCAUCUGAUUUAUGUCAGUUCUUAAAGGUAUUUUAUGAUGCAACAAAUCUAUUCCAUACCUCUAAGCAGGUAACAUCUAAUCUUGUUUUUGAAGAUGUUUUAUCAAUCUACCAUCAUUUGCGUAGGCAUCAUGGAACAUCAAAUGAACAUAUGAGGGUAUUGAUUUGCAAAAUACAAGAAAAAUUUGACAAAUACUUCAAUAGCUACAAUAUUCUCUUUGCAAUGGCAGUUGUUUUCUAUCCUAGGUUCAAGUUGUCAUACUUGAAGUAUUUGCUUGAUGAUUUGGAUAAAUCAUAUGCCAUGAUAAAAUAUGAAGUUGUAGAGAACGUCCUUCAUGAAUUGUAUGUUGAAUACAAAAACAUGUAGGAUGAUAGUGACACAAGUAAUAUGCAAAGGGACAAUGCAUACACUAGUACCAUAAUUGCAACAGAAGAGUAUAGAAGUGUGGCUAGAAGUGGGUUCAGAGCAUGCUUCAGCUUUGUCUCUCCUGUAGUGGCUCACAUAGAUCUAGACAAAUAUUUGAUUGAUCCAAUGGAAGAAAUUGCACAUAAUAAUGCAGACUUCAACAUAUUAUCUUGGUGGAAGACAAAUGAAAGUAAAUAUAAAAUUGUACCAAAGAUGGCUUGAGAUGUAUUAGUGAUUCAUGUAUCUAAAGUUGCUUCAGAAUCUUCAUUCAGUAUAAUACGAAUAAUUCUUAAUGAUUAUCAAUGUUCAACUACUCUGAAAAUGUGAAAUCAUUUGCACAUAGAGUUGGAUCCGUGAUGCACACAACUUGGGUGAAAGUUUUCAUGAUGCAGAGAACCAUUCUAAUGAGGAAAGUUAAUCUGAUGCAUGAUUAUCGUGAUGGACAUUUCAAGGUUGCUGAUGGACUUUGAAGACAUUUAGUUUGAACAUGCCACAUUCAAGUUAACUUUAUUUCUAAAUGAUGCUUUUGUUAAUUCAAAUGAUGGUGGUGGUGGUGGUUGUAUUAGUUUGAACAUGCCACACUCAAGUUAAUU